UACUUCCACCUGAUGAAUGAUGGCCU
rnacentral:piRNA from 1 species